AUGAUGAACGGAAUUGUUUGCCCAACAGACCGGUGCAACGCUCUCCGGGACAGUGUAAGGCCUUUUUGUCUAAAAAAAUUCAUUGUAGUGCUUUCAGGUGUCAUAAAUUUGUUCCUGUUUUGCCACCUCCUCCGCCACUUUCACCGCCCUUGCCUGCCCCUCCGCCACCUGUUUAUUCGCCUCCGCCACCAGUUUAUACUCCUCCUUCUCCUUCCCCACCACCUCCUCCACCUCCAGUUUAUUCACCACCGCCACCACCACCCUCUCCACCUCCUCCAUCACCUCCCCCGCCUCCACCACCAGUCUAUUCACCUCCACCCCCACCUCCAUCUCCUCCUCCACCAUCACCUCCACCACCACCCCCGCCAUCUCCACCUCCACCACCAGUUUAUUCAUCACCACCACCGCCACCAUCUCCCCCUCCACCAUCACCUCCACCUCCUCCCCCACCCGUUUAUUCGCCACCACCAUCUCCACCUCCUCCAUCACCAUUGCCUUAUUGUAUACGCUCACCUCCACCACCAAAUUCCCCACCUCCUAAUUCUCCACCUCCACCGCUUGCUCACUCGCCUCCACCCCCUUCACCUUACUAUUACAAUUCACCACCACCUCCGCCCCCAAAUUCGCCUCCUCCUCCACCAGUAUACAUAUACUCAUCACCUCCGCCACCAAAUUCACCUCCUCCUCCACCGCCAACAUACGUAUAUUCUUCACCUCCUCCACCUCCUUCCCCAUUGCCUUGUAUAGAACCCCCUCCACCACCUCCUCCUUGCAUUGAACCACCCCCACCCCCCUCCCCUUCACCAUCUCCUCCUCCACCACCGGUUUAUCAUUACAAUUCUCCGCCCCCACCAUCUCCAUCACCUCCACCACCAGUUUAUUAUCAUUACAAUUCUCCGCCCCCACCAUCUCCAUCACCUCCACCACCAGUUUAUUAUUACAAUUCUCCACCACCACCAUCACCACCGCCUACUCCAGUAUACGAAGGGCCAUUACCACCAGUAAUAGGAGUUCAAUAUGCUUCACCACCUCCACCACCCUUUUAUUAAUUCUUUCAGAAAUUUCACUAACUCUUAUCCUCAGAGCACAAAAUAGUUCCUACAAUUAUUAUUUC
rnacentral:lncRNA from 1 species